UCCUACGGGAGGCAGCAGUGGGGAAUAUUGCACAAUGGGGGAAACCCUGAUGCAGCCAUGCCGCGUGUGUGAAGAAGGCCUUCGGGUUGUAAAGCACUUUCAGUUGUGAGGAAAGGUUAGUAGUUAAUACCUGCUAGCUAAGACGUUAACCACAGAAGAAGCCCCGGCUAAAUUCGGUCCAGCAGCCGGGGUAAUUCGGAGGGUGCGAGCGUUAAUCGGAAUUACUGGGCGUAAAGCGCACGCAGGCGGUUUGUUAAACUAGAUGUGAAAACCCCGGGCUUCACCUGGGAUGGUCAUUUAAAACUGGCAGGUUAGAGUCUUGGAGAGGGGAGUGGAAUUCCAGGUGUAGCGGUGAAAUGCGUAGAUAUCUGGAGGAACAUCAGUGGCGAAGGCGACUCCCUGGCCAAAGACUGACGCUCAUGUGCGAAAGUGUGGGUAGCGAACAGGAUUAGAUACCCUGGUAGUCCACACCGUAAACGCUGUCUACUAGCUGUUUGUGACUUUAAGUCGUGAGUAGCGAAGCUAACGCGCUAAGUAGACCGCCUGGGGAGUACGGC
rnacentral:rRNA from 1 species